CCCAAUGGCUGCAAGCACAAACAGGAGAUAACGGUAAGUGAAAAGCUGGUGAAACCCAUACCACUAGGAAAUCACAAGAGAUGCGGGAGACGAGAUUGAAAAACCCCCCUUUUUCGAAGCCUAACAAUAUCAAGAUUGCAAUGCAAGCACCAAAAAGACCAAGAAACCGUGUAACAUACUGGAUCACCAACCUUUGAAAUUCAAUAUCCAAUCCUUAAUUACUGUCACCAUGUGUAACAUACUGGAUCACCAACCUUUGAAAUUCAAAAUCCAAUCCUUAAUUUCUGUCACCAUGUGGUCUACACAUCCACCCAACAAACAAAAACAAGUUGGCCUGAUAAACAAAAGAAAAUAGUAGCAGAGAAGAUAUGUAGCGAGAAAACCAAAGGUAGAUGUGCACUUUAUGGGGCUAUCAAAAGAUCCAUAUUUGAGAUUGAAUACUUAUCAGGUGUCCAUAACCAUAAGAGAGAUCUCACAAGUUGGAUAAUUGAAGAACAUAAGCAUCUGGAUUGAAGAUGAAAAAAGGGCAGCAGAAUACACUACAAACACUUGUGAAAAGAUUUAUCUCAGGUGACAAUUUCUGUAUUACCAGCAGUUUGGACAAAGAGAGAAGGGAAUCACUAUCAUUAGGGAAGGAAACUGGAAUGAAAAUCUCAAUAAUUAUAGAAGUCUAAACUACAGAAACCUCAAUGCAAAUCGGCAAGGAAACAUGCGGCUCCAUGGAAAGACGCAUUCACUGCUCUAAGGCCCAAUGGCUGCAAGCACAAAUAGGAGGCAACAUUUAAGUGAAAAACUGGUGAAAACCAUACCACUAGGAAAUCAAAAGAAAUGCCAGAGACAAGAUUGAAAACCCCCUUUCUCGAAGCCUGACAAUACCAAGAUUGCAUGCAAGCACCAAAAAGACCAAGAAACCAUGCAUAACGCAUGCUGGAUCACCAACCUUUGAAAUUUCAAAAUCCAAUCCUUCCAUGUGGUCUACACAUCCCAACAACAAACAAAUACAAGUUUGCGUGAUAAACAAAAGAAAAUAGUAGCAGAGAAGAUAUGUAGCGAGAAAACCAAAGGUAGAGGAGCACUUUAUGGGGCUAUCAAAAGAUCCAGAUUUGAGAUUGAGUACUUAUCAGGUGUCCAACCAAGUGCCCAUAACCAUAAGCGAGAUCUCAUCAGUUGGAUCAUCGAAGAUACAUAAGCAUCAGGAAUGACAACUGAAAAUGGCAGCAGAAUAUGCUAUACACACUUGUGAAAAGAUUUAAUCUCAGUUGACAAUUUCCGUAUACCAGCAGUUUGACAAAGAUAAGUAAUCACUCUGAUUAGGGAAGAAAAUUGGAUUGGAAAUCUCAAUACUCAUAGAAGCCUAAACUACAGAGACCAACGGAGACCUCAAUGAUCGGCAAGGAAAACAAGGCGGGGCUCCAUGCAAGGAGGAAUUCACUUCUCUAGGGCCAAUGACUGCAAGCAAAAACUAGGGGUAACAGUAAGUGAAAAGCUGCUGAAACCCAUACCACUAGGAAAUAAGAGAAGCCAGACACAAGAUUGAAAUUCCCCCUUUCUCGAAGCCUGACAAUAUCAGGAAUGCAAUGCAAGCACCAAAAAGACCAAGAAACCGUACCACCAACCUUUGAAAUUUCAAAAUCCAGCCCUUAAUUCCUGUCACUGUGUGGUCUACACAUCUAUCCAACAAACAAAAACAAGUUGGCAUGAUAACCAAAAGAAAACAGAAGCUGAGAAGAUGAGUAGGGAGACCACCAAAAGUGGAAGAGCACUUUAUUAGGCUAUCUAAAGAUGCAGAAUUGAGUACUUAUCAGGUGUCAAUAAUGAUAAGAGAUCUCAUCAGCUGGAUCAUCGAAGAACAUAAGCAUCUGGAUUGAAAACUAAAAACGGCAGCAGAAUACACUAUACAUGCUUGCGGAAAGAAUAAUCUUAAUUGAGAGCUUCCAUAUAACAGCAGUUUUUGACAAAGCUUAGAGACACGAAAAUCUCCAAUACCUCUUAAGCCUAAGACCUGAGAACUUGCUCUGCACCUUCCCGAGCACAAACACCAAAGCAAUACACCUUCAGAAUCACUUGCCCCCUUAGAUCAAUCUUAAUACUCAUCCAUUGAAAACUACACCACCUGGGAUGAAAUCCACCAGAUGACCAAACCAAAAUAUGCAUUGAAGAAGUCAAGGUAAAAGAAGUUGAUGCGAGAAUAAGACAAUAUUAGCAUCAAUAUUAGCUGCAAGACAUCAAAUCCAAACUGAUAGCUCCAUGCUGAAGUUGUGCCCUGCUUGUCUUGUGACGCAUAGGGCUAGAACAGAUGACGGGCUCAUUCAUCUGAAGAUCCAAGUCAGCGGGGAGCAAAAUUGCUUGAGGUUUCAGAGUAGCAAUAGCUCAAAUAGUAUGGAAAGAAGUGUACACUACCGUAACUUCUCAA
rnacentral:lncRNA from 1 species